GCCUAACACAUGCAAGUCGAACGAGUAAAGUGGAGCAAUCCAUGAGUAAAGUGGCGCACGGGUGAGUAACACGUGACUAACCUACCUUUUAGUGGGGGAUAACCUAGGGAAACCUGGCUAAUACCGCAUAAUACCUACGGGUCAAAGCAGCAAUGCGCUGAAAGAGGGGGUCGCGGCCGAUUAGCUAGUUGGCGGGGUAAUGGCCCACCAAGGCAGUGAUCGGUAUCCGGCCUGAGAGGGCGCACGGACACACUGGAACUGAAACACGGUCCAGACUCCUACGGGAGGCAGCAGUGGGGAAUUUUGCGCAAUGGGGGAAACCCUGACGCAGCAACGCCGCGUGGAGGAUGAAGUCCCUUGGGACGUAAACUCCUUUCGCAUCGGGACGAUAAUGACGGUACCGGAAGAAGA
rnacentral:rRNA from 1 species